rnacentral:lncRNA from 1 species
AGAUAGCAACAAUUCCGCAGACGACUUCGCCGGGGAAAAGGUAAAGUACCGGGUAUCAAACCACUGACUUACCGAGUCUUCAAAAAGAAAGCGAUCAUGCUGAGGAAACAGACAGUUCCGCUGGCAACACUGCAUGGGGAAAAGCGGUAACAACUCCACUUGCAACUCUGAGGGGAGUAUCAACAACGGUUAUACUCGCG